AAUAAGUGCAGUUUUACACUAUUCACGUUCAACGUUUGACCGUUCGUCUUAUUUAAAUUUUUUUUUAUGAUUAGUAUUUUUAUUGCUAUUAGAUGAUAAAACAUGAAUAGUACUUUAUGUGUGACUAAAUAUUUUCAAACUUUUUAUAAUUUUUUUAAAUAAGACGAACGGUCAAACGUUAGGCACGGAUAUCUAUGGCUGCACUUAUU
rfam:Oryza barthii chromosome 3, whole genome shotgun sequence.